rnacentral:rRNA from 1 species
AUCGCCUCCAGGAACUUAUAUAUUGGAGGUACUGCCUGCCCAGUGACUCUGUUUAACGGCCGCGGUAUUCUGACCGUGCAAAGGUAGCAUAAUCACUUGUCCUUUAAAUAGGGACUAGUAUGAAUGGCAAAACGAAAAUUUAACUGUCUUCUUUAUUUAGUCAAUAAAACUGAUCUUUUCGUACAAAAGCGAAAAUACUAAUAUAAGACGAGAAGACCCUAUGGAGCUUUAAACACGUCAUCAACUGUAAAUAAAACUACACCUAUGAUUGACUGUUUUUGGUUGGGGCGACCACGGAGAAAAUAAAACCUCCGAAUUAAAUGCUUAGAAUACAUAUCAUGCAAUAGGAUAUCUAAAUUUAUUGACCCAAUAAACUUGACCAACGAACCAAGUUACCCUAGGGAUAACAGCGCAAUCUUAUCUGAGAGUCCCUAUCGAAGAGAAGGUUUACGACCUCGAUGUUGGAUCAGGAUAUCCAAGUAGUGCAACCGCUACUAACGGUUUUGUUGUUCAACAAAUAAAAUCCUACGUGAUCUGAGUUCAGACC